rnacentral:rRNA from 1 species
UACGUAGGGGGCUAGCGUUGUCCGGAUUUAUUGGGCGUAAAGAGCGUGUAGGCGGCCAGGUAGGUCUGCUGUGAAAACUCGAGGCUCAACCUCGAGACGUCGGCGGAAACCAUCUGGCUAGAGUCCGGAAGAGGAGUGUGGAAUUCCUGGUGUAGCGGUGAAAUGCGCAGAUAUCUGGAGGAACACCGGUGGCGAAGGCGGCGUUCUGGACUGCAACUGACACUGAUGAACGAAAGCCAGGGGAGCAAACGGG